rnacentral:rRNA from 1 species
AGAGUUUGAUCAUGGCUCAGAACGAACGCUGGCGGCGCGCCUAACACAUGCAAGUCGAACGAGAAUCCGGGGCAACCCGGUAGUAAAGUGGCAAACGGGUGAGGAAUACAUGGGUAACCUGCCCUUGAGAAGGGAAUAACCCGCCGAAAGGUGAGCUAAUACCCUAUACGCUCCUCUUUCUUUGGAAAGGGAAGGAAAGCUAAGUCGAGGACUUGGCACUCAAGGAGGGGCUCAUGUCCUAUCAGCUUGUUGGUGGGGUAAUGGCCUACCAAGGCAACGACGGGUAGCUGGUCUGAGAGGAUGAUCAGCCACACUGGCACUGAGAUACGGGCCAGACUCCUACGGGAGGCAGCAGUGAGGAAUAUUGCGCAAUGGGCGAAAGCCUGACGCAGCGACGCCGCGUGGGGGAUGAAGGUUUUCGGAUUGUAAACCCCUUUCAUGAGGAAAGAUAAAGUGGGUUACCACUUAGACGGUACCUCAAGAAGAAGCCACGGCUAACUUCGUGCCAGCAGCCGCGGUAAUACGAAGGUGGCAAGCGUUGUUCGGAUUUACUGGGCGUAAAGAGCACGUAGGCGGUUGGGAAAGCCUCUUGGGAAAUCUCCCGGCCUAACCGGGAAAGUUCGAGGGGAACUAUUCAGCUAGAGGACGGGAGAGGAGCGCGGAAUUCCCGGUGUAGCGGUGAAAUGCGUAGACAUCGGGAAGAAGGCCGGUGGCGAAGGC